rnacentral:lncRNA from 15 species
CUAAUGUUUUGUUUGACCUUGAUACAUUUGAUUGCGAUAAUAAACAGAAACAUAUAAUGACUUGAUCAGGGCAGCAAAAGUAUUAGAGGUUAACAAAAGCUCACGAAAGGAAAUUCCCAUGGUUGAAACUUGCGGGCAAACAUUAAAGAGAGAGAGAGAAGAGCUGAAGAGUUUCACUUCCUCAGAGCAGCCUUUAAGAAGAGUACAUUUCUCAUUCUCACGGUCAAUCUUAAGAAUAAAUUAUGCCAGAACAAAGGCUGAUUGCAAGACUCAGGGAAGAACUUGGACACAGCCCUAUUGUGUUAAAUGGGGUUUUUAGCUUCGUCCUGGCUGGCGUGGAGAAGAUAGUGGAGGUGGAAUUUGCUUGCCCUUGCAAUCCUCAGUGGAACGGUAUGUUUUCAGCUGCAAUUUUUGUCAUUCCUGCCUUAAUAGCUUUUCUGCUGAUGAUUAUGAUCCAUGAUUUUAAGUAUCAAUAUUGUCCUCCAAAAUGGGUGUAGAGCUUUCUCCCUCCCUUCAUUUGGAUGGUUCUCAUUUUCCUUGAUGGCCAAUACUUUGUCUGUGCAGUCACAAACUGGUCAGGCCCAUUGUCUCUGUAGAAAAAACUUUCCUGAAGUGGCGUACACCAACCAACACAACAAGAUACCCAUCAGAAGAACUCAUGGCUUAUUCACACAGCAUGUUUGUUUUGCCUCAGGGGACCGGAUUGUGUCUGCUCAUGGCUGUUGUCAUAUCUCUUCUCUCAUAUGCCAUUUACAAGUGCUGCUGUGCUAACAAAUAAAAAGGACAAAAAAAAACAGAAAAAACAGAAGAAGAAGAAGAAGAAGAAGAAGAACUCAAUGGAUCAUUAGAUAUCCCUUGAUAUGCAUACAGAGAGCAUCUUCAGAAACACAUGAUCAGAAAAACAUAUUCUCUAUAAACAUUCUCCCUCUCUAAUUUAGUAUUACCAGCAGUUAUAUGCUACAGUUUCAGCAUUACGUAGCAGGCAGACAAACUUAGUGGCUCAAAACAGACAUAGAAAGAGAGUAAAUAUAAGACUCAUGAAUCAGGUGGCCUGAAAUACGAAAUAAACUACAAUACGAUGAUACUACAUGUUGCUCUGUGCCUGCUGGAUGUAUAAGAAGGUGCACAAGUGUUAAUAAGUCAGGCCUGUGUUUGUUGGCCUAUUUUUUUAUUUUAGUUCUUCUGCCCUCUAGUGGCCAAACAAUCAUUAGAUGCCUAAAGAAUGUGCAACUUAAAGAGGAAGAUAUUCAGGUUUUUACUCCACCUACUCUGUCAAAGAAGAAAAAGGAAUAUGUCAGACAUGGUGUACUGUACAUAUUGUUCAACAAAAUAGUGUUCAGUGUUUUAAUAUAUUUUGCCAGGAUGUUUAAGGAUGAAUAGGAACAUGGGUUUUUAGAAACAUUUCAAUAUUUUCUAGUUGUGUAUGUUUUAUUAUAUAGUAUGUUAGCUUAUUUAUACAACGUAAUAGGUAAAAAUCCCUGUAAAUUUAAAAUUGUGAAGAUAAUACUUCCUCCAAAAAAUUGGAAUAAAGCUAAAUCCUUACAAUCCACUUGUCUGUCUGUGAUAUUUAUAUAUAUUUAUGAUAUUUUUUUUAUUUGUAAACAACUUUUAAUUUUGUGGGAAAAAAGUAUGCUACUGUAUGUCCUGAUUCUUUUAUUUAAUGUUCAAGACUGAUUUCUUCAGCACAUUAAAAUACACGUAUUUUAUGAGAAUGUGAAAAGCAAUAAUACACAGCAAAGUUCUCAGUUCAGCUUUUCAGAAGCUUGUCUGUCUUCGUAUAGAGUUUUCAGCAGAGCUCGUAGAUGUGAUCACAUUACUGAAACAAUAAAAUCCUCCACUUUAACAGUCACUUAGGACAUAAUUCAACUUCCUAUGUCAAUCAACUAAUUACUGUCACUGUUACUAAUGCCAUUUAUUGUGUGGAAUAAAAUGUUGUGACCUGAUGAAGAUUCAGGUGCGAUUGUCAGCAUUUAACUUUUAUGGCAUGGAGUUUGUCUCACUUGGAUUUUCUCUAUGUGAAUUAUGUCUUCUUGUUUCAUUGGUUUUACUCAGGAUUUUUUGUUUUUCAGUAACGUCCACUUAUUUUCACCAGCUGUUACUGUACUCACUUAUGUACCUACUUUUAUAUGUUUCAGCUCCUUAAUGUCAUGACUGAUAACAUUUGUCACCCAUUUACCCAUUUUAUUUAUAAGCAUGCAUUUAGUGUCAAAUAACCUUUCAAUUUCCACUCAAAUAAAAACAUAAAAACCCUGUCUCAACUUUGCUCUGGUCUGGCUCUCUCAUUCAGCUGCAUCCCUGCCAGCAGCAGGAGCACAUUGUCUUUGUUUGAUUUCUGAUUUGGU